CGGCCAGCGGGUGGAGCAUGUGGUUUAUUCGAAGCAACGCGAAGAACCUUACCAGGUCUUGACAUCCUCUGACAACUCUAGAGAUAGAGCGUUCCCCUUCGGGGGACAGAGUGACAGGUGGUGCAUGGUUGUCGUCAGCUCGUGUCGUGAGAUGUUGGGUUAAGUCCCGCAACGAGCGCAACCCUUGAUCUUAGUUGCCAGCAUUUAGUUGGGCACUCUAAGGUGACUGCCGGUGACAAACCGGAGGAAGGUGGGGAUGACGUCAAAUCAUCAUGCCCCUUAUGACCUGGGCUACACACGUGCUACAAUGGAUGGUACAAAGGGCUGCAAGACCGCGAGGUCAAGCCAAUCCCAUAAAACCAUUCUCAGUUCGGAUUGUAGGCUGCAACUCGCCUACAUGAAGCUGGAAUCGCUAGUAAUCGCGGAUCAGCAUGCCGCGGUGAAUACGUUCCCGGGCCUUGUACAACCCCGCCCGUAA
rnacentral:rRNA from 2 species